rnacentral:rRNA from 1 species
UACAGAGGGGGCGAGCGUUGUUCGGAAUUACUGGGCGUAAAGCGUGCGCAGGCGGUUUUGUAAGACAGUUGUGAAAUCCCCGGGCUCAACCUGGGAACUGCAUCUGUGACUGCAUCGCUGGAGUGCGGCAGAGGGGGAUGGAAUUCCGCGUGUAGCAGUGAAAUGCGUAGAUAUGCGGAGGAACACCGAUGGCGAAGGCAAUCCCCUGGGCCUGCACUGACGCUCAUGCACGAAAGCGUGGGGAGCAAACAGG